CCUCCCAUUGGAGAACAGAAAAUUUAAUGAGCUUUUAAUGGAAUGCAAUGCUCAGAGUAGUAAAUUAUUUGUUAGUUGACGAUGCAAUCAGCAUGCUGAUUAAGGUUGCUUGGUUUUUUUUUUUUUUUUACUAAACAUUAACUGAAUGAAAACGGUAGUCCUUGUUCUGCUUGGGGGGCUCUAAGGAAGCAAAUGGACUUUCAGAACAGAGAUUGUCAAUAAAGGUCAGCUUAUGGUACUUAGAAACAUGCCUAUAAUUUUGCUGCACAGAAGUUUUAUUUUUAAGAGUACAAAAUCUUUUGGCUCCAUCGAAUAUCUAAUCAAAACAUUAUUGUGAAGUGGGUAAGAGCAAAAACUUGCAGAAGCUAGCUUCACUAAUUAUCUACAUGACUUUUGGAAGUUGCUGAACCUUUUCAAGCCAGCUUCCUCAUCUGUUAAAUGGGGGAUAAUAAUGGAUCACAUCUACUAUUGUUGUGAGGACUGAAUUGGAAUACUCACCCUGAGCUCUGACGGUGUCCUUCAAAAAGGCAUCUGAUGCACUGAAGAAACUGAAGAUCAACUCACAUCUUGGAGGAGGCAGCCAGGACUUACGAGUGCAGACACACUGAUCAGCAAGGUAUCUGAAGCAGAGAUGCUGAUUCCUCCUCUCAAGCUCGAUGGAUGGUUGCUGGUGCUGGCACUGGCGCUGCCUUGGAGCAUUGAGAGAUGUCAUGCCGCCAAUUCAUAGCAAAGUCUUUAUUGUUGAAACUCCUGCAUAAUGACAUCUUUAUUCAUGUGAAAAUGCAGGAUGAAUUUCAACUGUAUGAUACUGUUUAUGUUCAUCAAAAACAUUAUUUGUCUUUACAAAGUCUGAUUUCAAUGAACCGGCUAUGUAAUGGAUAUUAAAUAAACAUGGAAUGUUACAUGUUCAUAAUA